AGUUUCGAGAGUUUGUAGAUUGCAAAUCUAAAAAUGCUGGUUAGUUACCAGCCGGAACUU
rnacentral:tRNA from 1 species